CAGUCGCCGCGGGAAUACGGAGGGGGCUAGCGUUGUUCGGAAUUACUGGGCGUAAAGCGCACGUAGGCGGCUUGGUAAGUUAGAGGUGAAAGCCUGGAGCUCAACUCCAGAAUUGCCUUUAAGACUGCCGAGCUAGCAGGUGAGAGAGGUAAGUGGAAUUCCGAGUGUAGAGGUGAAAUUCGUAGAUAUUCGGAAGAACACCAGUGGCGAAGGCGGCUUACUGGCUCAUACUGGACGCUGAGGUGCGAAAGCGUGGGGAGCAAACAGGAUUAGAUACCCCGUGUAGUCCCUGUCUCUUAUA
rnacentral:rRNA from 1 species